GUAGGUGGCAAGCGUUGUCCGGAAUUAUUGGGCGUAAAGCGCGCGCAGGCGGUUCUUUAAGUCUGAUGUGAAAGCCCACGGCUCAACCGUGGAGGGUCAUUGGAAACUGGAGAACUUGAGUACAGAAGAGGAAAGCGGAAUUCCGCAUGUAGCGGUGAAAUGCGUAGAGAUGUGGAGGAACACCAGUGGCGAAGGCGGCUUUCUGGUCUGUAACUGACGCUGAGGCGCGAAAGCGUGGGGGAGCAAACAGGAUUAGAUACCCUGGUAGUCCACGCCGUAAACGAUGAGUGCUAAGUGUUAGGGGGUUUCCGCCCCUUAGUGCUGCAGCUAACGCAUUAAGCACUCCGCCUGGGAGUACGGCCGCAAGGCUG
rnacentral:rRNA from 1 species